rnacentral:sRNA from 1 species
UGACUAAGUUGUUCCUGUAUUGAGUCC